CCCCUCUCAGGGUCGCACCUGGAGAGUUUUCAGUACUCUACCAGGCUUGACUGUGGGAGGGAGAGUCAAGCAGUGGCAUAUUCAUUCCAUUCCUAGCUUUGGCAGUGGCUACUGAGUGGAAGGCAAUCUGCUACAAGU
rnacentral:snoRNA from 1 species